rnacentral:tRNA from 1 species
CAGAAAAUAGUUUAAAAAAAAUAAUAAUUUUGGAGAUUAUUGAUAAGGGAAUUAUCUUUUUUUCUGA